GCAGGGGUCGCCUAGCUCGGUAGGGCGCAGUUCUACAAAAACGGGGUCGUGGGUUCGAAUCCCACCCCCUGCG
rnacentral:tRNA from 1 species